AGUCAAACACGUAUCGACGUGGAACGGAGACUAAAUGGGAUGAGACGGAGGUGAUGUAUGUUUUCGAGUUACGUGCUAAACACUUUCAUUUGGUUUGGGGUUUGGCUCGCAGGACGUCGCAGGGGCCGACCCACCGGCCGCCGGGGAGUACUCUCGCAGCCGACUGCGUUGUAGGCCGCCGUUCGCGGAUAGAUCCGAGAAGAGAAGGGGAAGGCGGACUUCUCCCUCCUCCGCGAUGGCUUCCCACCUCAAAGAUUACGGACAAGCGUUUGUGAUCAUGGGAGUCAGCGGCACCGGGAAAUCGACUGUUGCUGAGAUGCUUGCAAAGGCACUAGAUUGCAGCUUUCUUGAAGCUGAUGACUUCCACUCACAGGCAAACAAAGACAAGAUGAGAAAAGGGGUUCCGCUUACAGAUGAAGAUCGAUUCCCAUGGCUUGAAGCACUCCGCGAUGUGGUCGGGAAGAUCAUGAGCUCCAGUAAAAAUGUAACUCUUACCUGUUCUGCACUGCAGAAAAAGUACCGGGAGAUCCUCAGGUCAGCCGAUGCCGAUUACAAGCCGGGACAGUACACCAUCUGCAGGGUGAAAUUUAUAUGCUUAGAGGCUCCAGUGGAAGUAAUUGCAGACAGGAUCAGGAGAAGAUCAAAAGAUGGGAAGCAUUUCAUGCCUGUUUCUCUGUUGCAGUCCCAGUUGGACCUGCUUCAGAUUGAUGAAGCCGAAGGAGUGAUUAGGGUUGAUGCCACCAUGAGCCGUGAAGCCAUUUUAGAGAGCAUACUGACAAGCCAAUUUUGAUGACAGAAGUGGGCAGCUGAUUGUUUGAAGUGAGAAUAAAGCUUAAUAGUUCUGCUAGUGACUGAAGAUCACCAUUUUUUUCCCCUCGAGCCAACAUGGAAAUCAUGUCAAAGAAAGGAAAGGGAAGCUAUAGAUGAUGAAAUCACAAACUGACAUCAAUUCAAACAAGACAUGGAAGGCAUAGACAACAUGUAUCAAUGGAACAGUCUGCUCCUUCAAGCCACAAACAACAAUGUUACAGAGGAACAUGGUUGCUAGGAGAGGAACGCCUACCUGCUGACUCUAAGAUACUAGGAGAAAGUUGGUGUAUCAUUGAAAAGGAACAAGCAAUGUCACAUUUCUUAUGAAGUCAUCAAAAGAAGUAAAGACUCUAUCAAACAGAGAAUGUUAACCUGAUACAGCACAAUAAAUAUUCACUGACCUGAGAGCAAACCCAUAGGCAGAAAAAUAUAUUUCAUAUAAUCUGAUACAAAAUGGUGAUGAGCAAAGAAAAUUGUAUAUUCCAUGAGUUUGAUGCAAAUUCUUGGAUAUUCACAGUUUCACUUCAAUGAUUUAUCAUCCCAAAUACUAAAGACACUUAUCAAAGACUGACGGUUCAAAACCUUAUUCGGUAAACCUUAAAAAAUGUCAAUUGGUUUAGUUUGAUAAAUACCUUGAUCAUUGACAACAAGAAUCUGCAAACAAAUCUCACCUUUGCCGUCUAUCUUUUCUAUUAAAAAAAGAAAACAACUCAAUCGUUGCUCAGUGAAAAGAAAAUUAAGAUCCAGAAUAUUUAAGGACACUAGACACAUUGAAAACUCAAGAAGAUGGACAAUGCAGAAAAGAUGCACCCUGCAAUAUAAUUCAUGAGGAAAAGGGUGCAGACAUCUCUAAAGGACUUUCUUGAGAGACAAAACAAGCUGGACAGAUCUCAUAUUCUCAACAAGGAUAUAAUUCAGAGUGCAAAGACAGGUAUUGACAAAGAUAUAAUUGAAACUAAGAGAGUGAUGCACAACACAAUCUCCUGACAGAUGAUAACCACAAGAUUAUGUUGGAAAUUGUCGGUCAAGUUCUGGCGCCUAAAGCCAGUGAAGUGCAAGCUAUUAUAAACCCUAAACCUACAGAAAUUUCCAGCGUGUCUGGAGCUUAGUAUCAUAAGCAAAGUUAUACAUAUAGCUGCCAAAACAUUGAAAGAGAGCAAUGACUCAAUCAUAC